AAUCAACGCUGGCGGCGUGCCUAACACAUGCAAGUCGAACGAGAAGGUGACUUCGGUCACUGGAUAGUGGCGUCCGGGUGAGUAACACGUAGGUAAUCUACCUUCGGGUGGGGAAUAACGUCUCGAAAGAGACGCUAAUACCGCAUAAUGCAGCGGCACCUAAUGGUGAUUAGUUGUUAAAGCGGGGGAUCUUCGGACCUCGCGCCUGAAGAGGAGCCUGCGGCAGAUAGCUAGUUGGUGAGGUAAUGGCUCACCAAGGCUUCGAUCUGUAGCUGGUCUGAGAGGACGGCCAGCCACACUGGCACUGACACACGGGCCAGACUCCUACGGGAGGCAGCAGUGGGGAAUUUUGGGCAAUGGGCGAAAGCCUGACCCAGCAACGCCGCGUGAAGGAGGAAAUCCUUC
rnacentral:rRNA from 1 species